rnacentral:rRNA from 1 species
GACGAACGCUGGCGGCGUGCUUUACACAUGCAAGUCGAACGGAAAGGCCCUGCUUUUGUGGGGUGCUCGAGUGGCGAACGGGUGAGUAACACGUGAGUAACCUGCCCUUGACUUUGGGAUAACUUCAGGAAACUGGGGCUAAUACCGGAUAGGAGCUCCUGCUGCAUGGUGGGGGUUGGAAAGUUUCGGCGGUUGGGGAUGGACUCGCGGCUUAUCAGCUUGUUGGUGGGGUAGUGGCUUACCAAGGCUUUGACGGGUAGCCGGCCUGAGAGGGUGACCGGCCACAUUGGGACUGAGAGACGGCCCAGAGGCCUACGGGAGGCAGCAGGGGGGAAUAUUGCACAAUGGGCGGAAGCCUGAUGCAGAAACGCCGCGGGCGGGAUGACGGCCUUCGGGUUGUAAACCGCUUUCGCCUGUGACGAAGCGUGAGUGACGGUAAUGGGUAAAGAAGCACCGGCUAACUACGUG